UAUUUCGUAGCUUAAUACAUA
rnacentral:piRNA from 1 species